AGGUGAAAGGAGCCAUCGUGUGGUCAAAUUCAUGUGCUGCGGCUUUUGGACGGGAGCUGGGCUUGGUCUCGUCCCUUUUACCCGGACAGUAAGUGGGAAUGAGGAAAGCUCCGUGCGGGGACUAUGCCCAUAGCCCUUAAGACGGAAAUAUCUCGAAUACUGGAUGAAAUUCAGCGCAGACAUUCGGGGUCCCCAGAGGAUGAAUCCCACUGAGUUUGGAAGACCCCCCCCCCCCCCGGACUUUUCCCCCUAGCGUCACCAGCAGGUGGAUAUUUACGGCUGGCUGGGACCAAGAGUGGGCCCAUGGGGAUUGGCACAUUUCUCCCAAACAAGGAACAAGGGUUUCAUGUGAGGAGCUGGGCCACAUCAAUGGAUCAACUGACCUGCAUGCCUGGGAAACCUUACUCUUCUCACCUAUCCAAGCAACCUUGGGUCAAACAAUAUUUUGCAAAAGAUUGUAAGCAUAUUGCUUUACCUUGUUGAAGAGACCUAGAUGCUAUUAAUCUAAGCUAUGUUGCCUGUUACAGUAAAGCAUUCUAAAACUGACUUUCCCCUAUGACUUUUAGGUUUAAAAACCUCAAUCAUGUAAGCAUCAAUACAGGAAUGUUUAAAAAAAAAAAAACAUUUUAGGAUGUAUGCUUAAUCACUUUUUUGAUAAGAGUUAAGGCAGGCAGACACUAUACAGAUUAAUCAAAAUUCUAACCCCAAACUGGUCACCCCUGACUAAUUUUAGAAUCGCGCCGAUAUGCUGCCUUAUUGGUUGUCAUUUGACGUUUAGUUAGUUUGAGAUGGUCGCAUAGUUGGAUUAAUUGCCUAAAGGAUCAGUGAGCUGGGUGGUGGAUAGGCGGCUGGGUUUCUGGUAUGUCCGAAAUUUUGGUCGGCAGGCUUACAGGCAGAGCAAUUUCAAAGACUGGUUUCCCACAUGUCGGCUGGUUAUAAACUGUAGUUAGCUUGUUUUAAUAUUAUCAGAGUAGUAUUAUACACGUUAAACUGGGCUGCAGAACUGAAAGACUCGAAUAUCUGUUUUUUGAUUCUUACUUUCCAUUCAUAAUGGAACUGCACAAAGCAAUGCUGCCUUUCUCUCUUUUUUUCAACAUUGUUGAUUGUUGUCAGCGUCUUGUUUGAAUAAGCUUUUUUGAAUUGUCAAUGGACAAAAUCAACUGCUGAUUCAUACUGCAUGAGCAUUAAAAUCACAUUUUCUAGCUGUGCAGAAGAGCAGAUUAAAAUGUACAGCAUUAACAUAACGUACAAGAUAAAUAAAAAUUCAGUGUCCGCCCAGCUUUAGAUGAGAAGAUCGAUGCCAGUCAGAUGUAUCCAGUAAUACUGGUUAUCUUAGCUUAGCAUAGAGACUGGCAACUGGGGGAAACAGCUAGUAUAGCUCUAUUUUAAGGUAACAAAUUUCUUUAUGCUAAGAUAAGAUAACUUGCAGCUGGUUGUCGCCUUAAAUUUACAAUAGAGAUUAGAGUAGACAUUAGACAUUAGAGUGGUAUCGCUCUUCUCAUUGAACUCUCAUCAACAUAUCAAAAAAGCAUAUUUCCCAAAACGUCCAACUACCUUAAACCUAACAGCUAAAUAACAUUUGUUCUGUGUCAAAGCCCUAUUGUCAUAGAUCCAAGCCCUCUCUUUGUUUGCCACCUUGUGUUUAGUUUUCCCUCUCAUCUCUCACCCGAGGAUCACAUGCCAUUAUUCUCUCCACACACUUUUCUCUCCCUCUUUCACAAUUGAGUUCCCCCUGCUCUUUCCAUUCGCCUGUCUUUCUCCAGCACAGACAACAUUUGUUCAGCACUCACAUGCACAGUAAGUUGCUAAUGAUGAAACAUUCUGAAUGCAAUUUUCAUUUAUCAUGAUCACUCCUUAAGACGUUUAGCAGCGUCUCUUUGUUUUUACACUGCAUUUUGUGAACACACAGGUCACUGGAAAUCCCUGAUUUUUUUACUGUGCAAAGGCAGAUUUGUUUAUGCCACGAAAUGUUUAGAGAGCAGUGUUGUAAGAGGUUUCUGAGAUUCUUGCUAAAGCAGGUGGAAAGAGUGAAUGCAUGGUUGCUUUUACCAAAUUUUUUCUUUGAUAAAGUGAAAAUGGGGAACUUCGAACCAAAAAGCAAGAUCCUCUGCUACAGAAAUAAAUGAAAAUGUGAUCUUAAAGCACAAAAACAAUCAAUUAAACAAGGUUGAAAAAGAACCUACUAAUAAUCUCAACCACUUAUGGUACUUACACAUUGUUAUCAGAAUUAAUGUUACUGUGAUAUAUUGAUGUUUUAAACAGAUUUAAUCCUAUUUUGUGUUGUGACAUGUUACUUUUAUUUUUGCUUCGACUCUUUUUAGACAGUCUGAUGUUUAUGUUACUCUGUUUAACAGCUGGGAUUUACUUCAAUCAAAAUAAAACUUUCUAUCAACUUGUCAAAUGUUAAUUCACAUAGAAUUAUCAGACUGUUUAAGGUCAAAGUAAAGGCAGUACUAUGAGAGAAACAGGUACC